GUCCUUGCUUGAAUCUGUGAAUUCUGGAAUAAAUGAGAUAAUUUUUGCCCUCAAGAUGCUCACAGGCUAAAGAAAAUAGAGAAGCCAAAUUAUAGGAUCAUAGAAAACUGCAAUAAGUUUCUUUGCUCUUAUUAUAAAAUCAGAGAGCUUUGAGAGGACCAGUUUGUUCGUUCUCCACACCCUCCAUGUUUCUUUCUUUCUUUUUUUGGCCAUGUGGUAUGUGGGAUCUUAGUUCCCCAACAAAGGAUGGAACCCCCACCCUUGCAGUGGAAAUUCAGAGGCUAGCUACUGGAUGACCAGCAACAUCCCCUUUAUGUUUCUUAAAUAGAGAAACCUAGACUUACCCAGAGAGGAUUCACCCGAGUUUGCACAGCAUUAGAGACGCACCCUGGUUCUGAACCUAGGCCACCCAACUUCUCAUAGCAUGAGUUAAAGGAAGGCUUCCCAAAGCAGCUUUGGACUCUCUUCUACUUCCUGUACUUGGCAUCACCAUUCUAGGAACCACCUGAUGAAGGAAAACAAAUUACCUAGAGGAGCCAUUUGAGGAGCAAAAGGAAAUUCUCAAAUAUAUAAGGACCCUACCCUUUAAUCAGACACAAUGUCUGAAUCUUCACCAUUAGUAUCAUCUCUCUUUGGAGCAAGUCUUUUUCUACCUGGACUCCUCUGAAGAAGCACAGAAGCACCAGGAAGAAUGACCCUCUGGUCCCUCAGUGUGGGCAAAGCUGGCCAAACCUCCUAGUCCUCUGAGGGAACUUCUGGGGAGAGGAAGACAGACGGUGCAGCUGGGGUUUAGAGGAGGCAUGGGAAGAGAUGUUCCAAGGCAUCAAGCAGAACUUUCUUACCUGGCCCCACCGGUGUAUCUUGUCUCAUCCCUUGAAACACACAGAGGACCCUCCAGGUACAAGAAAUCACUUGCAGAUGAGAAAACCAGAAUGCCUGAUUCACCUUACACAGCAGAUGGAAGUAGAGGAACUGGGACUCAGACUGGAGUCGUGAUGAGAGCCCAGAGUAUCCAGAGGGAGCUACUG
ensembl:lncRNA